ACAAUAUGCUCACUCCAUGUGCAAACAGUAGUAGACUGAAGCGUAAGAUGUCUGUGAAACAAACUCAAUGCAGUGAAGAGGAUGAAGAGCCAAGAGAACGUGAUAGUAAAAUUGGAGAAGUGGACAAGGUGCUUGGUUCUCCACAGGAUCAUAAUGUUAGGUCUCGUGCCAUAUUUAUACUGGAAAACGCUUCACUCAAGAAAGGACUCGUUAGAAAGGAGUGGAAAAUCCUCAAUUCGCAUGAUGAUGCCAACCUUCUGUUGAAGCAAAACAAGAAUCUUAAUGAUUAUGGACCUGAUAUUGUUUUUGAGGCACUCCGGAGUAUUAUGGAUAGUCCACUUAAUAAAUAUGGUUUGGUGGGUUCUAUAUUCAUAAAAAUUUAUUUGAAAUCAAGCCACAUGUUCGCAUUCCUCGAACUUGCAAACGAUUCUGUGGUCUAAUAGUGGAUUUGCUUCGAAAGUCUUGUGUUCGUGCUAAAGAUACAGAUGAGGUACUUAUUCGUGUUCUUGAAGAGCCUGUGACACGUCAUUUACCAGUCAAUUAUCAUAUUAUAGGCCUAUCUUAUAGCUCAGAAAUGUUGGUCGACAUAGAUGACUAUGUCUGUGACCUAAGUGAUGACGUGACUCCUGUUUUUGUGGUGGGUGCGAUGGUAAAUGGAAAAGUAAAAAGGGACAAUACACAUGAUUACAUUUCUGUUUCUGAUUAUCCACUUGGUGCAAAAUGCUGCGUAGGCCUUAUCUGUGAUGCAUUGGAGCAGAAGUGGAAGCUAUUCUGAAAAUUGGUCAAUCAAUAAAAUGUAUAUAUUAAAAGAAAAGGGUUUUAAGUAAAUAGUCAAAAUGCUAAUUUUACCUUAUCAUGUUAAGAGUCCUGUCGGGUCUCUUAAAUCAUUCAAGUUAUAGUUAGUUUUUUUGGUACUGCUUACACACUAGUCAAAUACAUUCAUUAGUACUCUCGGCUGAUCUUUCUUGUAUUUUCG